rnacentral:rRNA from 1 species
UACGUCGGGUGCAAUCUUGACUCGGAAUUACUGGGCGUAAAGCGUGCGCAGGCGGUUAUAUAAGACAGAUGUGAAAUCCCCGGGCUCAACCUGGGAACUGCAUUUGUGACUGUAUAGCUAGAGUACGGCAGAGGGGGAUGGAAUUCCGCGUGUAGCAGUGAAAUGCGUAGAUAUGCGGAGGAACACCGAUGGCGAAGGCAAUCCCAUGGGCCUGUAAUGACGCUCAUGCACGCAAGCGGGGGGCGCACACAGGCUGCGAUAACACUGUAGUCC